rnacentral:rRNA from 1 species
AUUGAACGCUGGCGGCAUGCCUUACACAUGCAAGUCGAACGGUAACAGGUCUUCGGAUGCUGACGAGUGGCGAACGGGUGAGUAAUACAUCGGAACGUACCCAGUAAUGGGGGAUAACUAUCCGAAAGGAUAGCUAAUACCGCAUACGCCCUACGGGGGAAAGAGGGGGAUCGCAAGACCUCUCGUUAUUGGAGCGGCCGAUGGCUGAUUAGCUAGUUGGUGGGGUAAAGGCCUACCAAGGCAACGAUCAGUAGCGGGUCUUAGAGGACGAUCCGCCACACUGGAACUGAGACACGGUCCAGACUCCUACGGGAGGCAGCAGUGGGGAAUCUUGGACAAUGGGCGCAAGCCUGAUCCAGCAAUGCCGCGUGCGUGAAGAAGGCCUUCGGGUUGUAAAGCGCUUUUGUCAGGGAGCAAAUCCUUGUGGCUAAUACCCACCGGGGGUGAGAGUACCUGAAGAAUAAGGACCGGCUAACUACGUGCCAGCAGCCGCGGUAAGAC